GGCGAACGCUGGCGGCGUGCCUAACACAUGCAAGUCGAGCGAGGUCCAUCCGGUGGCAACACCGGGGAAGACCUAGCGGCGAACGGGUGAGUAACACGUGAGCAACCUGCCCCGAAGACCGGGAUAACAACGGGAAACCGGUGCUAAUACCGGAUGCCCUCACCGGACCAUACGAAUCGGUGAGGACAUGGAUUCCGCUUCGGGAUGGCCUCGCGGCCUAUCAGCUUGUUGGUGGGGUAACGGCCCACCAAGGCCCCGAGGGGUAGCUGGUCUGAGAGGACGAUCAGCCACACUGGGACUGAGACACGGCCCAGACUCCUACGGGAGGCAGCAGUGGGGAAUCUUGCGCAAUGGGCGAAAGCCUGACGCAGCAACGCCGCGUGGGGGAUGAAGGCUCUCGGGUUGUAAACCCCUUUCAGCAGGGACGAUCGUGACGGUACCUGCAGAAGAAGCCCCGGCCAACUACGUGCCAGCCGCCGCCGUAA
rnacentral:rRNA from 1 species